rnacentral:rRNA from 1 species
UACGUAGGGGCCGAGCGUUGUCCGGAGUUAUUGGGCGUAAAGCGCGCGCAGGCGGCCUCGCGCGCCCGACGUGAAAGCCCCCGGCUUAACCGGGGAGGGUCGUUGGGGACGGCGGGGCUUGAGGGCGGGAGAGGUCGGUGGAAUUCCCGGUGUAGUGGUGAAAUGCGUAGAUAUCGGGAGGAACACCUGUGGCGAAAGCGGCGCACUGGACCACUUCUGACGCUGAGGCGCGAAAGCUAGGGGAGCAAACAGG